rnacentral:rRNA from 1 species
ACUCCUACGGGAGGCAGCAGUGGGGAAUAUUGGACAAUGGGCGCAAGCCUGAUCCAGCCAUGCCGCGUGAGUGAUGAAGGCCCUAGGGUUGUAAAGCUCUUUCACCGGUGAAGAUAAUGACGGUAACCGGAGAAGAAGCCCCGGCUAACUUCGUGCCAGCAGCCGCGGUAAUACGAAGGGGGCUAGCGUUGUUCGGAUUUACUGGGCGUAAAGCGCACGUAGGCGGACUAUUAAGUCAGGGGUGAAAUCCCGGGGCUCAACCCCGGAACUGCCUUUGAUACUGGUAGUCUUGAGUUCGAGAGAGGUGAGUGGAAUUCCGAGUGUAGAGGUGAAAUUCGUAGAUAUUCGGAGGAACACCAGUGGCGAAGGCGGCUCACUGGCUCGAUACUGACGCUGAGGUGCGAAAGCGUGGGGAGCAAGCAGGAUUAGAAACCCGAGUAGUCCCAUGAU